GGGAGACUACCGUCGUGCCUAGCGCCUGUGAGGUCCCCAAGAGGCCUGGCUUCCCAGGGGCGAGGCCGUGACCCUUUCCUCGUCGGGGCGUCUCUUCGUUGUCUUAAUGAGGCCUUCAGGCUUGACCUUCCAUUCUGCAAAGUCUUCAAAAUACUGAAUGAACUGGCGAUUUAUUGAUUAUACCUUCAUACUAAUGCAGUGUAACAUUUCACAUGCAAUUGGGAUACUUAUUACUUUGAAGAAUAAAGUGGCAGAAUGAAUCCCACUGGACUGUUAAAAGCAAAGAACACUGCAAAAAGCUGUUUGAUAAGGAACUGGGUUUUUUAGCCCUUAUGGACAAUGCAAAGUCAAGAUCCCAGGAAGAGUGUUUCUCAGUAAGAAUGUAAGGUGCAAGGCAGACUAAAGUAUUGCAUAUUGAAGGGUUUUAAAUAGUGCAUGCCCUCAAGGACUGAGGAUUCAAGCCAGUAGACCUGCUAAACUUAAAGUCACAGGGAGAUAAAAAAGAAAAUCGAGACAAGUCUUACAAUUUAGUAAAUGAACCCACUCAAAAUCAGAAUGGAUCAGCUUCUGGGUUAAACCCUCUGGAUAAAACUCUGGAUAAAAAUAGAUAGUAUGUGACCUUCAUUCACUUGGAAAAAAAGCAAAAGCAUAAUAUAUUUAUAUAUAUCUCAGUACCUUUUAAUGAAGCUCUCGGAAGAGAAUAUGUUUUCACAUUAGCAGAAAAACUGUAGAAUAGAAAAGAGGAAGGCCAAAAUGAGAAGAAAGAAAAGAACUAAAAUAAAAAAGUUUUAAGUAGGAGAAAGACUGUAAGAUAUGAAGGAAAAAUCAUAUCUUGUCUAAUUAAAUUAAAAUGUCCAGUGAAUUUUAUAUUCUUUAAUGAAGCCUAUAUUUUUACAUAGAGCACAUAAUCUUUAUUAUAUUUACCUUCUUCAGAUGGAGAACAUGUUUUCCCCUUCUGCUUCAGUGAAACUUUGAUUCACAUUAUGUAUAUUAUUUUGUUGACAAGUCUUAUAUAUUUAUCUUCUAAUAGUUGCUGUUAAUUAGGGAGGGGAAAAUUUUCUGCAUUUCUACAUGAUCAGAUUAUUGCUCUAGAAACUAACUUCUUUCAUUUGUAAAUUGAGUGAUUUGCAUACGAAUUGUUUCACUAGCUUUUUUGGCUUGCCACUAAGGUAGUAUCAUAGUAUCAUAUGAUACAGACCUUCCUUAAAAAAAAAUAUUUUAUUAUUUAUUCAUUGGAGACACACACACAGAGGCAGAGACACAGACAGAGGGAGAAGCAGGCUCCAUGCAGGGAGCCUGAGGUGGGACUGGAUCCUGCUAUUCCAGGCUGAAGGCAGCGCUAAACCACUGAGCCACCCUGGCAGCCCUGAUACAGACCUUCCUAUCUCAAAUUUAAAUUUAAAACAAAAGUAACUCAU